UGAACGCUGGCGGCGUGCCUAAUACAUGCAAGUAGAACGCUGAAGGAAGGAGCUUGCUCUUUCCGGAUGAGUUGCGAACGGGUGAGUAACGCGUAGGUAACCUGCCUGGUAGCGGGGGAUAACUAUUGGAAACGAUAGCUAAUACCGCAUAACAGUAGAUGUUGCAUGACAACUAUUUGAAAGGGGCAAUUGCUCCACUACCAGAUGGACCUGCGUUGUAUUAGCUAGUUGGUGAGGUAACGGCUCACCAAGGCGACGAUACAUAGCCGACCUGAGAGGGUGAUCGGCCACACUGGGACUGAGACACGGCCCAGACGCCUACGGGAGGCAGCAGUAGGGAAUCUUCGGCAAUGGACGGAAGUCUGACCGAGCAACGCCGCGUGAGUGAAGAAGGUUUUCGGAUCGUAAAGCUCUGUUGUAAGAGAAGAACGAGUGUGAGAGUGGAAAGUUCACACUGUGACGGUAUCUUACCAGAAAGGGACGGCUAACUACGUG
rnacentral:rRNA from 1 species